UAAGUACUAGUGCCGCAGGAGAGGGAAUUCGAGUCCUCCUGCAGCUAUAGUGCUUACC
rnacentral:pre_miRNA from 1 species